UCUCACUCUUAUUAGGUUUAUGUUUCCUGGUUACUUUGAUUGCUCCUCCUCCGGCAACCCUACAGAAAAGCAAACGUAUGCAGCGGCGCAAGAUUUAUCUCUAACUUCCCCCUGUUUUUUUUCUCUCAACUGAAAACCUCUCAUUUCCUUCAAACCAAAUCAAGAAACACUGUUAACUACUGAGAUCGAAAAGAAAUUUCAUCGACAAAGCUAUAUAAGGAUCAAAAAUGAAAACUUUAAGGGCUGAUUGAAGUAGAAGAAGAUGGUGUUUUUCAUUACUUACAGAUCCCAAUAGAUUUUAGUUUUAUUAAUUGUUGUUUUCUUUGUGUAGAUUCAUAAGUUUGUUUGAAGUUUCAUCAACUAAAGAAGAAGAAUCCUUAACCUGGGUUCCUUUUGGGUUCUGUUGAUACUUGAUAUUGGAUGCAGAGCUUCCCCAAGUAUUGAGAGGAUCAAUUUAUGAUGAUCAAAUCACUCCCGAACUGUAUCAAAGGAUAUCUCCAAUAAUCCAUGUGGAAGGCAAAGAUGUCAUUACCGUUUCUUGUUCUCCAAUGAAUUCUAGUUUUGAACUCGUAGUCAUCUUUUGAGGUUACUGGCAAAGCAGUUCUGUGAGGGGUACUUCUGGGGUGCCGAAACAAUCCCAAGCACAACAGGCUGAAGCUAAAUGUUAUUCUUCCAACAAUCGUAUGUGAUUAAGAGCAGGAGCUAAUCCAAGUUUUACUUCGCAGGGGACUGAAGCUAUUAUCAACUCUAUCAAUGGCUCUCAAUGUAGUGUUAAUUAAGUGGAGUACCAUUCCUGUAACAACAGAUUGUAUACUUUAUUCAAGUCUUUAUCGGUUCUUACACUUAUAAGGUUGUUAACAGGUCUUGUAACUGUAUGGCCGAUAUACUUGCCAAAACUUGUGACAUUUGUGCCAAGUCUCGAGUCCUGGAUGAAUGGCCUUACGGCAUUUUGCUUAUGCAGUAAUAAGCUACCCUCUUGAAUAAAAAGUGCUUUGAUG